GACGUAGGGCGCGAGCGUUGUCCGGAUUUAUUGGGCGUAAAGAGCUCGUAGGCGGUUCGUCGCGUCGGCUGUGAAAACCCGGAGCUCAACUCCGGGCCUGCAGUCGAUACGGGCGGACUCGAGUUCGGCAGGGGAGACUGGAAUUCCUGGUGUAGCGGUGAAAUGCGCAGAUAUCAGGAGGAACACCGGUGGCGAAGGCGGGUCUCUGGGCCGAUACUGACGCUGAGGAGCGAAAGCGUGGGGAGCGAACAGG
rnacentral:rRNA from 1 species